UAGAGUUUGACCAUAGGACCUCAAAGCCCAUCCUCACAGUGAUGCACUUCUUCCAACAAGGCCAUACAUCCUAAUAGUGCCACUUCCAAUGAGCCAAGCAUAUUCAAACCACCACAGGAAGCAAAGUUGAAUGAGGUCAUAAUGCUGAGGUCAUAAUCUGAUAGGAUCCAUGUGUCUAUAUGUAUGCAUAAAAGAAAGGCCAUAAACACACUGUGGGAAGGUAGCCAUCUACAGGAGAGAAAAAGAUGCCUCACCAGAACCAAACCAUGCUGGCAAACAGCUCCAGUCCAACUGACAGUUGGGAUGAGAACCAGCCUAAGAAAGGAGAGCACAAGAUGGGGCUUCAAGACUUGAUUCAUGUGCAUACUGCUGGGAGUGAUGACCCGGGUCACAUUGGAAGAUUGUGUAUGCACAUAAGCAAUCCCUGGCAUGUGACAGCAGCCCAAACAUUAAGACAUUUGUCACGUUUCAGAUAAAAUAUUCUAGUAGGGAGAGUACAUUCUGGAAGAAUGAUUCAAAUAUUUUAAGUCCAUAUAAAUGACAUUAUAAAAAUAAAGAAAAUGGAAUUUCA